GAAAGCUGUAGAUGUGGUUGUGCUGGCUCUCCGGAGUAAUGUGCACGCCCGUCUCACUCUCACCUUCAUUCAACUGUGCACUUUUGACGGAUGGGAUACCUUUCCGCAAUUCAAUUGCGGGUUUGGGGGUCAAGCGUUCAUUCGCGUUUUCCCCUGCUUUCCCAUCCGUAACCCCCUUACACACACUUUAAAAAUUUAACCUAGAAUGUCUGAUUGACCUUUAUUGGUCUUAAUCUUUUAAUACAACUUUUAACAACGGAUCUCUUGGCUCU
rnacentral:misc_RNA from 1 species